rnacentral:rRNA from 1 species
UAGCCAUGCAUGCCUAAGUUCAUACCUUUACACGGUGAAACUGCGAAUUGCUCAGUAAAUCAGUUAUCGUUUAUUUGAUUGUACCGAGGCCCCUAAAAAGGCUUCACACACUGGAUAACUGUGGGAAACUAGAGCUAAUACAUGUCAACUGCUAUCACGGGGUAGCGUGCAUUUAUUCGCCUAGAAAACCAACACGCCUGGGGUUAAGCCUGGGUCGCGGUCGGUGGCUCUGUUCUCUUCGGGGGGCAGGGUGCCGGCUAGCGCCCAGGAUUACACGAUCCCGGUGUUCACGGUGAUUCUGAAUAACUGAUGCUGAUCGUACAAGGCCUUCGAGCCUACGAUAUUUCAAUCAAAUUUCUGCCCUAUCAUAUUUGUUGGUAGGGUAGCGGCCUACCAAGGUGACGACGGGUAACGGGGAAUCAGGGUUCGAUUCCGGAGAGGGAGCCUGAGAAACGGCUACCACAUCCAAGGAUGGCAGCAGGCGCGCAAACUAUCCAAUCCAGAUACUGGGAGAUGGUGACGAGGUAUAUUGGAAUUCACCGGCUAUGCCGGUCGAAUUACCAGAUAGACCGUAAUUUAAACCAAUAACGGGCUAUUCAACGGGAGGGCAAGUCUGGUGCCAGCAGCCGCGGUAAUACCAGCUCCCGUGGUGUAUAUGUUAGUUGUUGCGGUUAAAAAGCUCGUAGUUGAAAUACGGCGUGUUCGAAAGACAGUUCAGGGGUAUGGCUGCCUUGUGUGCAGUUUGUGGAAGGCGGAGCGUAUGGUAAUGCCGGUCAUGGCUCUUCAGGAAGAUGGCGGUGCGGGCCGUGAUGCUGGGCUCUCGCAAGGGAGUUCAGUGUUGCGGUCAGUGUCGUCACCGGCUUGGAGUGUUCGGGCCGGUGUCAACUGUGCGCCUGUCGGCCCUUAUACUCCCGAAAGGUCAUUAGAGCGCGCUUUCUCGUUGGGCCCGCUCGAUUCUCCUUCAGUGGUGACGGGCGCGUUGUCCAGCGAAUUGUGCCUUGAGUAAAAUAGAGUGCUCCAAGCAGGCUGUGAUCAUUCAUCGCCCGC